UGGGGAAUUGUUCGCAAUGGGCGCAAGCCUGACGACGCAACGCCGCGUGGAGGAUGAAGGUCUUCGGAUUGUAAACUCCUGUUGCCCGGGACGAAACGCUCCGACCUAACACGUCGGAGCCUGACGGUACCGGGUGAGGAAGCCCCGGCUAACUCUGUGCCAGCAGCCGCGGUAAUACAGAGGGGGCUAGCGUUGUUCGGAAUUACUGGGCGUAAGGGCGCGUAGGUGGCCUGUUAAGUCGAACGUGAAAUCCCCGGGCUCAACCCGGGAACUGCGUCCGAGACUGGCAGGCUCGAAUCCGGGAGAGGGAUGUGGAAUUCCAGGUGUAGCGGUGAAAUGCGUAGAUAUCUGGAGGAACACCGGUGGCGAAGGCGGCAUCCUGGACCGGUAUUGACGCUGAGGCGCGAAAGCCAGGGGAGCAAACGGGAUUAGAUACCCCGGUAGUCCUGGCCCUAAACGAUGAAUGCUUGGUGUGGCGGGUAUCGAUCCCUGCCGUGCCGAAGCUAACGCAUUAAG
rnacentral:rRNA from 1 species